UACGUAGGGAGCAAGCGUUGUCCGGAAUUAUUGGGCGUAAAGAGCUCGUAGGCGGCCAGUUGCGUCUGCUGUGAAAUCCCGGGGCUCAACCCCGGGCUUGCAGUGGAUACGGGCUGGCUGGAGGCAGGCAGGGGAGAACGGAAUUCCCGGUGUAGCGGUGAAAUGCGCAGAUAUCGGGAGGAACACCGGUGGCGAAGGCGGUUCUCUGGGCCUGUACUGACGCUGAGGAGCGAAAGCGUGGGGAGCGAACAGG
rnacentral:rRNA from 1 species